UUUGCCUAAUCAAAUAAAAUAGGAUUACAUCUUGGAAAAAGUUGGGAGACACUGGACCAACCAGAGUUAAUUAAUGCCGAUAUCAGCAGCAUCGAUGAAAUCACGGAACACCGGCUUCUCUCAUUUGAAUAUCAAUAUCGAGAAUUCCUUCCGCGAGUCGCACGGGCGUGGAAAAGCAUAUCGGCACUCGAGUGUCAUCGUCGGUUCAAUUAUCCUCGGAUAAUUAAACCACGGCGAAUUAACGCGCAGAAUUUCGUCGUCGUUAAACCACGGUGGGAUUUACAGGUUGAAUCCGUUAAAAGGAAUCGAGAUUCCCGUGGCAUCUGAAGCAAGCUUGUUUCAUCGAAUGGAAAAUGUUGAUAUCAUAGAGUUGGAAUUUCCUUUUCCACGAAUUUUCACACGAUCUUCCGUUUCAAGAUCUUCUGGUAUACGAUGAGAAGUUGAAGGUUUACAGGAUAUAGCACGAAAAUUAAUAUGAUGAAAGAAAUAAUUUUUUUAUUUAAAUUUCUAUUCGUGGAAAUAAAUGAACAAAUAAAAAAAGAAAAAAAAGGAGAAAAAAAUUAAAAAAGAAAAACGAAAAAAAAAGAGAGAUAUACUGGAGCUUAAGGCUGUAUUUAUCAUCUCGAAUCGAUCUCAAUUACCGCGAAACGUAUCGACGUUUGGCGAUCGACGAACGGUGAAUUAGCCGUGGAGAGCUUGAGGGGGAAACACCGUAUCGCGUGACAUUCGAAAUUGUACGAGAAAGCGGGCGCGGAGGGAGGGAAGAAAAGCGAGCGGCGCGGUGGAAAGCGAGCGGAUCGCGAUCGUGAUCGGGAGCACGCUCGUUAGAGAGGCCGCCGGCUCGUUACUCGGCCGCUUCUGUAUCAAAUCCGGCAAUUAAACAGCGGCGAUCGCGUUUACGCCGAGAUAAAUACCGGUCAUUUCACGAGACGAGACCGAGGCAGAGACUUAUGGGUUGAUGAAGAUUAUGCGGGGACAAGAGAAAGGUAGAAGGGAUGACAGGAGACGACCAAGAUAGUUCCUGGACUUCUAUCGAGCGCGGAUCUUCCGCUACAGCGACCUGGACGAUGACCUCUUGGCGGAUUGCACGUCCAUUUUGAAUGUCUGGAUGUGAUAAUAAUUUGGAUUAUUUGGAUAGAUUGGAUGAUAAUUUCGAUAAGGGAAGUGUAAACUUUUCGAGAGCACGAAUAAAACCGAGAAGCAAUCGACAAGAAGAGAGAGAGAGAAAGAGAGAGAGAGAGAAAGAGCAGCAACACGAAAGAAACAGGAGCGUUACGACGAUGUCCACCGAUGAAUUACCAUACCGACCGGAUUACCUUUCAUGCGCGAAACAUCUCCAUCAGCUGGAACCGCGAAUAAUCCGAUAAGCGAAUUAAGAUUAGCAGCUUCUGAUGAGCCGCUAAGUGACUAUCGACGUUCGCAUAUCGACCGGCUUCGGUGACAUGGAGCCGAGUAGCGACGUCGAUCACUAGAAAUCGAUCAUUGCCUCCUCGCUCGAUCCUCCGAUCGACGUUAUUAUCAGCAUCGUACACAGUGUUGUAAAUUCUUUGCACACACACGAGAUAUUUUUUUUCGUCAUUAUUGUUAUUUUAAUAUGAAUGUGAUGGAGAAUAGAAACAUUCAUGAUAAAACAGUUAUAUUAG